GGGGGGGGCAAGCGUUGUUCGGAAUUACUGGGCGUAAAGGGUGCGUAGGCGGCUUUCUAAGUUGGAUGUGAAAACUCUGGGCUCAACCCAGAGCCUGCAUCCAAAACUGGAGAGCUUGGGUACUGGAGGGGAAAGCGGAAUUCCUGGUGUAGCGGUGAAAUGCGUAGAUAUCAGGAGGAACACCGGUGGCGAAGGCGGCUUUCUGGACAGUUACCGACGCUGAGGCACGAAAGCUAGGGGAGCAAACAGGAUUAGAUACCCUGGUAGUCCUAGCCCUAAACGAUGGAUACUUGCUGUGAGGGGGAUUGAAACCCUUUGUGGCGAARMWAACGCAUUAAGUAUCCCGCCUGGGGAGUACGGUCGCAA
rnacentral:rRNA from 1 species